rnacentral:rRNA from 1 species
AGACCCGAAACCCGGUGAUCUAGCCAUGGGCAGGUUGAAGGUUGGGUAACACUAACUGGAGGACCGAACCGACUAAUGUUGAAAAAUUAGCGGAUGACCUGUGGCUGGGGGUGAAAGGCCAAUCAAACCGGGAGAUAGCUGGUUCUCCCCGAAAGCUAUUUAGGUAGCGCCUCGUGAAUUCAUCUCCGGGGGUAGAGCACUGUUUCGGCUAGGGGGCCAUCCCGGCUUACCAACCCGAUGCAAACUGCGAAUACCGGAGAAUGUUAUCACGGGAGACACACGGCGGGUGCUAACGUCCGUCGUGAAGAGGGAAACAACCCAGACCGCCAGCUAAGGUCCCAAAGUCAUGGUUAAGUGGGAAACGAUGUGGGAAGGCCCAGACAGCCAGGAUGUUGGCUUAGAAGCAGCCAUCAUUUAAAGAAAGCGUAAUAGCUCACUGGUCGAGUCGGCCUGCGCGGAAGAUGUAACGGGGCUAAACCAUGCACCGAAGCUGCGGCAGCGACGCUUAUGCGUUGUUGGGUAGGGGAGCGUUCUGUAAGCCUGUGAAGGUGGCCUGUGAGGGUUGCUGGAGGUAUCAGAAGUGCGAAUGCUGACAUAAGUAACGAUAAAGCGGGUGAAAAGCCCGCUCGCCGGAAGACCAAGGGUUCCUGUCCAACGUUAAUCGGGGCAGGGUGAGUCGACCCCUAAGGCGAGGCCGAAAGGCGUAGUCGAUGGGAAACAGGUUAAUAUUCCUGUACUUGGUGUUACUGCGAAGGGGGGACGGAGAAGGCUAUGUUGGCCGGGCGACGGUUGUCCCGGUUUAAGCGUGUAGGUGUGUGUUCCAGGUAAAUCCGGUUCACUUUAACACUGAGGCGUGAUGACGAGGCACUACGGUGCUGAAGCAACAAAUGCCCUGCUUCCAGGAAAAGCCUCUAAGCAUCAGGUAACAUCAAAUCGUACCCCAAACCGACACAGGUGGUCAGGUAGAGAAUACCAAGGCGCUUGAGAGAACUCGGGUGAAGGAACUAGGCAAAAUGGUGCCGUAACUUCGGGAGAAGGCACG